rnacentral:misc_RNA from 1 species
UCCGGCUUAUCACCGGCAGUCCCCUUAGAGUGCCCAACUAAAUGAUGGCAACUAAGGGCGAGGGUUGCGCUCGUUGCGGGACUUAACCCAACAUCUCACGACACGAGCUGACGACAGCCAUGCAGCACCUGUCUCCGGUCCAGCCGAACUGAAGGGUCUCAUCUCUGAAACCCAUACGGGACAUGUCAAGGGCUGGUAAGGUUCUGCGCGUUGCUUCGAAUUGAACCACAUGCUCCACCGCUUGUGCGGGCCCCCGUCAAUUCCUUUGAGUUCUAAUCUUGCGACCGUACUCCCCAGGCGGGAUGCUUAAUGCGUUAGCUACGGCACGGAACCCGUCGAUAGAGUCCCACACCUAGUGCCCAACGUCUACAGCGUGGACUAC